AAAGUCAAACAUCGGGCACUCUUCACAAUCAUCGAUUUCUUUCUUCUCUUGACCUUCCAACAAAUUUUUACAUGUAGACUCUCAUUUUAAGAAAAUCUCAAUCUUCUAUAUCAGUUCGAAUAAUAAUAUUAAAUUAAAAUAUAUAUAUAUGGGAUCUGUGUUAAGAUAUUUUAAGUUUUAACUAAUAACAAAACUAUCAAGCUAUUAGUAAUCUUAAAAUAUCUAAAUUUUUUUGGCAUUAUCUAUAAUGAAGCAAACUACUGACAAAAUUAUCCGGCUA
rnacentral:lncRNA from 1 species